AAUCAACGCUGGCGGCGUGCCUAACACAUGCAAGUCGAACGAGAAAGGGGAGCAAUCCCUGAGUAAAGUGGCGACCGGGUGAGUAACACGUGACUAACCUACCUUCGAGUGGGGGAUAACCUCGGGAAACCGAGGCUAAUACCGCAUAAUAUCGCAAGAUCAAAGCAGCAAUGCGCUGGAAGAGGGGGUCGCGGCUGAUUAGCUAGUUGGCGGGGUAAUGGCCCACCAAGGCUAAGAUCGGUAUCCGGCCUGAGAGGGCGCACGGACACACUGGAACUGAAACACGGCCCAGACUCCUACGGGAGGCAGCAGUGAGGAAUUUUCCGCAAUGGGCGAAAGCCUGACGGAGCGACGCCGCGUGUGGGAAGAAGGCCUUCGGGUCGUAAACCACUGUCGAAGGGGAAGAUAUUGACGGUACCCUUGGAGGAAGCCCCGGCUAACUACGUGCCAGCAGCCGCGGUAAGACGUAGGGGGCAAGCGUUAUUCGGAAUUAUUGGGCGUAAAGCGUUCGUAGGCUGGACAGGAAGUCCGUGAAGAAAGACCUGGGCUCAACUCAGGGAACGGCACGGAUACUCU
rnacentral:rRNA from 1 species